rnacentral:rRNA from 1 species
GACGAACGCUGGCGGCGUGCUUAACACAUGCAAGUCGAACGAUGAAGCUGGAGCUUGCUCCGGUGGAUUAGUGGCGAACGGAUGAGUAACACGUGAGCAAUCUGCCCUUGACUCUGGGAUAACUGCGGGAAACUGUAGCUAAUACCGGAUACGAGGCUCGAAGGCAUCUUCGGGUCUGGAAAGAAUUUCGGUCAAGGAUGAGCUCGCGGCCUAUCAGCUUGUUGGUGGGGUAAUGGCUCACCAAGGCGACGACGGGUAGCCGGCCUGAGAGGGUGACCGGGCACGGUGGGACUGAGGAACGGGCCAGACUCCUACGGGAGGCAGCAGUGGGGAAUAUUGCACAAUGGGCGAAAGCCUGAUGCAGCAACGCCGCGUGAGGGAUGAAGGCCUUCGGGUUGUAAACCUCUUUUAGCAGGGAAGAAGCGAAAGUGACGGUACCUGCAGAAAAAGCACCGGCUAACUACGUGCCAGCCGCCGCAGUAA